GACGAACGCUGGCGGCGUGCUUAACACAUGCAAGUCGAACGGAAAGGCCCUGCUUUUGUGGGGUGCUCGAGUGGCGAACGGGUGAGUAACACGUGAGUAACCUGCCCUUGACUUUGGGAUAACUUCAGGAAACUGGGGCUAAUACCGGAUAGGAGCUCCUGCUGCAUGGUGGGGGUUGGAAAGUUUCGGCGGUUGGGGAUGGACUCGCGGCUUAUCAGCUUGUUGGUGGGGUAGUGGCUUACCAAGGCUUUGACGGGUAGCCGGCCUGAGAGGGUGACCGGCCACAUGGGGACUGGGAUACGGCCCAGACCCCUACGGGGGGCAGGGGGGGGGAAUUUGGCAAAAGGGGCGGAAGCCUGAGCCACCAACGCCGGGGGGGGGAUGCCGGCCUUCGGGUUGUAAACCCUUUUCGCCUGGGACGAAGCGUGAGGGACGGUAAUGGGUAAAGAAGCACCGGCUAACUACGG
rnacentral:rRNA from 1 species